UCGUAACAAGGUUUCCGUAGGUGAACCUGCGGAAGGAUCAUUC
rnacentral:rRNA from 10 species